rnacentral:rRNA from 1 species
UACGUAGGGUGCAAGCGUUGUCCGGAAUUAUUGGGCGUAAAGAGCUCGUAGGCGGUCUGUCGCGUCUGCUGUGAAGACUCAGGGCUUAACCCUGAGCUUGCAGUGGGUACGGGCAGACUAGAGUGCGGUAGGGGAGACUGGAAUUCCUGGUGUAGCGGUGAAAUGCGCAGAUAUCAGGAGGAACACCGGUGGCGAAGGCGGGUCUCUGGGCCGAUACUGACGCUGAGGAGCGAAAGCGUGGGGAGCGAACAGG